rnacentral:rRNA from 1 species
ACGAACGUUGGCGGCAUGGAUUAGGCAUGCAAGUCGAAUGAAUCCUGUAGCAAUACAGGGGAAAUGGCGAAAGGGGCAGUAAUACAUGGAUAACCUACCCUGGGGAUGGGCAUAGCCGGUCUAACGGCCGGGUAAUACCCAGAGAGUCGACGAUGUGGCAUCACAAUGUCGGGAAAUGAAUUUCGCCUCGGGAGGGGUCCAUGAGCUAUCAGCUAGUUGGUGGGGUAACGGCCCACCAAGGCUUAGACGGCUAGCGGGUGUGAGAGCACGACCCGCGCCACUGGCACUGAGACACUGGCCAGACACCUACGGGUGGCUGCAGUCGAGGAUCUUCGUCAAUGGGCGAAAGCCUGAACGAGCGAUGCCGCGUGAGCGAUGAAGGCCUUCGGGUUGUAAAGCUCAAAAGAAGUGAGAAAGGGAAACUUGAUCAAACUUCAGUAAGCUCGGGCUAAGUUCGU